GGGGGCAUAGCUCAGUUGGUAGAGCGCCUGCUUUGCAAGCAGGAUGUCAGGAGUUCGAAUCUCCUUGCCUCCA
rnacentral:tRNA from 1 species